rnacentral:rRNA from 1 species
UACGUAGGGUGCGAGCGUUGUCCGGAAUUAUUGGGCGUAAAGGGCUCGUAGGCGGUUUGUCGCGUCGUGAGUGAAAACUCAGGGCUUAACCCUGAGCCUGCUUCCGAUACGGGCAGACUAGAGGUAUGCAGGGGAGAACGGAAUUCCUGGUGUAGCGGUGAAAUGCGCAGAUAUCAGGAGGAACACCGGUGGCGAAGGCGGUUCUCUGGGCAUUACCUGACGCUGAGGAGCGAAAGUGUGGGGAGCGAACAGG